rnacentral:lncRNA from 1 species
CACUUAAGAUGUUUAUUCCAAACAUAACCUUAUAAACAAACAGUUGUUUAUUUAGAGUUAUUUAUUAUUGUUUUCUCAUAUUUUGCAAUUGGUUUACUUCGAAUUUAAUAUGCAUUACUGUGGUAUUUCUCCAGUUUUCUAAGAAGGUUGGUGAUUUUGAAUUGGGAUUAUGAUGAAUUUAACCCAAAGGCAAUGUGUGUUUAUUUAUGUGGCAAAAUUCCAGGCACCAUAAAAAUUUGGGACAACAUCAAGUUUAGGGCAACCAAACAUAACCAAUUUGUAGUUGACAUUUGAGGUAAUCUAAAAACACUAACAGUGUUGCCAUGUUGUAAAAUAUUUCUUACUGUAACAUCUAAAAUUCAAAAUUGAAUAGAACAUUUAUAAUUUAAAAAUCGAAAACAAAUGUUAUAUAUAAAUCAGAAAAUAUAUUAUAGUCUGUUCGCUAAACUCAGACGCAACUUUCUAGAUAUUUUAGUCGGUAAUUUUGCCAAUUUUAGUAAAAAAUUAUCCACUAAAAUAUGUAGCCAGUUGCGUCUGAGUUUAGCGAACAGACUAUAAAAGCAUUAAAAUUAUAUAAAAAUCAAUAGUGGCAAUAGUUAAUAGAAACAUUAAACAAUGUGAAGAUUUCUAAACUGUAACUAAUAAAAUAUCUAAAAUACUAAAUAGUAAUAAAAAGAAACUAACUUAAACUGUAGACUCUAAACUCUAACUAUUAAAAUAUCUAAAAUACUAAAUAGUAAUAAAAAGAAACUAACUUAAACUGUAGACUCUAAACUCUAACUAAUAAAAUAUCUAAAAUACUAAAUAGUAAUAAAAAGAAACUAACUUAAAUGAAUAAACUAACCUAUGAAAUAAACAUCUAAAUUAUAAAAAAAAACAUUUUAAACAAGGUCUAAAUUCAUAUGUCUAAAUUAUAAACAGAUAUGGCAACAGGGUUACCAUGUCUAGGGAUUUUCCCCGAAUCUAGGGAUUUUUUGAAGCUUUUGGAGCUCUGGAGGGAUUUUUUUUGAAAUCUAGGGAUUUAUUAAACUGUGCUGGCGCCAUUUUUUGUUGUUAUUAAAUAUCUUUUUGUUAAAAUAUUAUUAAUAUUGUCAUUAUUUAUUGUUCCCUGACAUAAAUAUUCCUAAGUAAACAUUAAAACAUUACCUAAUCAAUGAUUAAAGUGGAUUAAACAUAGUGUUUAAUAGGUUAUAAAUUAAAUUGACAGCUGUCAUCUGUCAAUUUCUUCUUUUUUAGGUCAAAUUAAUACGAUUUAGGGAUUUCUAGGGGAAAUUGAAGCUCCCGUCUAGGGAUAUUCUGAAAUUUCAUCUGGCAACCCUGUAUGGCAACACUGUUCACAAAAUUCAUGCUGUUGAAUGGCCGUUGCCCUAAACUUUAUGUUGUCCAAAAUUUGAGUUUCUUCCUGUUGCCCAUGGAUGAAAAUCGGUUUGCAGAAUGAAAAGAAAUUGUUCAAUGUGAUAAACUUUCUAUGAACAGUCCUCAAUAUUGUUACAUUAACUUUUAUAAAUAUGCACUUUACAUCUUGAGGAGCAGGCCUUUGCAGAAAUACUGAAAAGCGGGUUGCAAAACAACGCAAAAUAAAAUAAACGAAAUAUGUCUUGAGAUUAAACAUUCAAGUUGAAGGUGUGUUCUUCCUUAAACUGGAAUGAUAAUUUUGUAAUUCUGUAGGCACAUCUAUUGAGAAGUUACAACCAGUGGCAAAGUGCCUUAAGGGAAUCUAUGACAUAUAUAAUUGAAGGGACAUCUCCUCUGAAGGAAUUACAAUUAUUUGCCAGUAUGUCAAAUGAAUUUUCAACAUCAGUCAUACUUUCAUUAAUUUAUUGAUGAAAAUAAAACUAGGUACAUGAUUUAUUUACUUCCAAGGGAUUCUAAGAUACUAUGUGUAAAAAGUCCAAUAUGCAGUGAUGAGCAUGCUAAUAACUGGCAAAAUAUGGGAUAUAACGCCAAAGAUGGGAAACAUGGGAUGCAUUCUGAAGUAAAAAGAGAUGAAACUGAGAGAAAUUAUCGAUAUAAACAUAUAAAUUAACAUUACAUUACAUAGUUUCCCACCUUUAGACGUAUCAGAUGAGUAUGAGAACUGUCACUGUGACAGGAGAAUUUUAUAAAAUACUCCUGUCACAAAGGUGGGAAACUAUGUAAUGUUAUUGUCGGCUAAGAGUGUUAACCUGCUAACUCCAUUUUUCACUGUGAGUGAUAUUGGGGUAGUUUCUAGGUCUGUGUACCUUCAUACCAUGUCCCACAAGCCCGCUGGUUCCACUGUAGUUUAGAGAUAGCUAUUUCUAAACUACAUUGGUGUCGGCGGGUUUGUGGGGUGGUGUAUGAAAAUACACGGACCCAGAAACUAGCCCAAUAUCACUCAAAGUGAAAAAUGGAGUUAGCAGGUUAAAACUCUUAUCCAAGGUUAUGGUAAUUUAUUCGUUUAUAACGAUAAGUUCCACUUCUACCAGUUUCAUCUCUUUUUAUCUCGCAAGUUAAUAUGUUUUCCAUCUUUUGCGUUAUUUUGCCGGUUAUUAGUGUGAGUGCUCAUUACUGUAUAUUUACGAUUCUGUGAUUUCUCAAUAUGAUGCUGAGUAGGUAUAGAUCUGAGUAGGUAUAUAGUAGGUAUCUACAACCCUUUCAAAAUAGAAAUUUAUAAGUUCAUUUUAUGUACCUAUUAAACUUUAUUUUAAGGAUGAAUUUGAAAUGCUUGUAGGGAAUAUAUCUGUAAACAAUAAAAUUGGUAUUGUAAAAUUGAAAUUCUCAAAAUAUAAUUUAUAAUUCGAAUGUA